UGAGCCGGCCGGGCAGCCGCGGUGCCUUUCGCGGCAUCGAGGAAAGUCGGGACUCCACAGGGCAAAGCGCUGGGUAACACCCAGUCGAGGCGACUCGGAGGAAAGCGCAACAGAAAGCAAACCGCCGAUGAAUCCCUAGGGGAUCACAGGCAAGGGUGCAAGGGUGGGGUAAGAGCCCACCGGCGAUCCGGGUGACCGGGUCGGCCAGGCAAGCCCCGCUUGGAGCAAGGUCAAGCAGGAGAGAACUAUGAGUGGCCCGCUCAGGUGCGUUGCACCGCUCUCCGGGUAGACCGCAUGAGGCGGCGGGCAACCGUCGCACCAGAUGGAUGGCUGCCGCCCGGCGAGUCCGGGUACAGAAUCCCGCUUACAGGCCGGCUCAUUGC
rnacentral:RNase_P_RNA from 1 species